AUUGAACGCUGGCGGCAGGCCUAACACAUGCAAGUCGAGCGGAUGAAGGGAGCUUGCUCCUGGAUUCAGCGGCGGACGGGUGAGUAAUGCCUAGGAAUCUGCCUGGUAGUGGGGGAUAACGUCCGGAAACGGGCGCUAAUACCGCAUACGUCCUGAGGGAGAAAGUGGGGGAUCUUCGGACCUCACGCUAUCAGAUGAGCCGAGGUCGGAUUAGCUAGUUGGUGGGGUAAAGGCCUACCAAGGCGACGAUCCGUAACUCGUCUGAGAGGAUGAUCAGUCACACUGGAACUGAGACACGGUCCAGACUCCUACGGGAGGCAGCAGUGGGGAAUAUUGGACCAUGGGCGAAAGCUUGAUCCAGCCCUGCCGCGUGUGUGAAGAAGGUCUUCGGAUUGUAAAGCACUUUAAGUUGGGAGGAAGGGCGGUAAGUUAAUACGUUGCUGUUUUGACGUUACCCACAGAAUAAGCACCGGCUAACUUCGUG
rnacentral:rRNA from 1 species